rnacentral:rRNA from 2 species
GAGUUUGAUCCUGGCUCAGAUUGAACGCUGGCGGCAUGCCUUACACAUGCAAGUCGAACGGCAGCACGGGAGCUUGCUCCUGGUGGCGAGUGGCGAACGGGUGAGUAAUGCAUCGGAACGUAUCCUGGAGUGGGGGAUAACGUAGCGAAAGUUACGCUAAUACCGCAUAUUCUGUGAGCAGGAAAGCGGGGGACCUUCGGGCCUCGCGCUCUUGGAGCGGCCGAUGUCGGAUUAGCUAGUUGGUGGGGUAAAGGCUCACCAAGGCGACGAUCCGUAGCAGGUCUGAGAGGAUGAUCUGCCACACUGGAACUGAGACACGGUCCAGACUCCUACGGGAGGCAGCAGUGGGGAAUUUUGGACAAUGGGGGCAACCCUGAUCCAGCCAUGCCGCGUGAGUGAAGAAGGCC